UGUGGAAAUGGCCUGUAGCCUGCAGGAGCCUGAGGAGAAGAGAGGAGCUAGCAGCCCCAGUCAAGUCUAGCGAAGUGCAUCUUGGCCUGCAGUGAUGGCUGUUUCCCCCAGAAAGUUCUUCCACUUCUGGAUCCCACCUCGACUGAACCUUACACAAUCUACUGCUGGACUUUCCAAUGGCAUGAGUUGGUAAAUCAUCUCAUUUUUGCAAAAGCAAGUGUAACUUGAGUUUCCAUCACUUGCAGCUGAGAGAACACUUGUUCUUGAAUUUUAUCCACAAUGAGGUGCUGGAUGUUUUCUGUUUGCCCCAUGAACUCACUCUCUGCCUUCCCUGUCUUGCUGUCUACCCUUAUUGGUUCUUUUUUCCUUUCUGCUUUGGUUUCCAGUUGGCUCUGGCCAAUGAUAGAAGACGAUAAAAG
rnacentral:lncRNA from 1 species